UCCAGCAUCUGCAGUUCCUACUAUCUCUAUAAACACAGGCAGAGCCCCCUUGGCCUCAAUGGCCCUCUUCUGGGAACAGUCUGUGGACAGACUCGUAAAACUCUGGCUUCUCAAGAUGCCCGUGGAGCGUUUCGGGGGAUGUAGUUCUUGCGGGCCAUAGGUCCGUGGAACGAGCCACCUCCGAGACUACAACCCCCGACACGCACCCCGCGGCGUACAUACGCAUGUGCAACCAUUAGCCCACGCCUUGCGUGCAGCUGAGGAACUACAACACCCAAAGUGCACCGGUGGGAUCAGGCCACGUGGUUCCGGUUUGGACAGGAAGUGGGACCGUCGGUCUGGAGGGAGGGGAAGUGGCAGCGUCUUCCUCCAGCUGGGCGACAGGGCAGCGGCUCUGAGUGCGGCGCUCCAGCUCUUCUUUCACGGUAUGGCCAAGAGACGGAUAGAAAAGUUUCCCCAUGCAGCAUUGGUGAACAUUGGACUGUAAACAUGCAUGAUCAUGUGGAAGAGCCCAACUGGAGAAAAGUAUGAAAAUCAUUAAGGCCUAUGUGACUGGUGGUAGGAAAAUCGUCUGUUGUGAUCAUACCCAUCCCAGAAUGUUCCAGAUGCUGGUAGAGGCAGCGCCCAUAAUUUUAUAGAAAUUCUUGGAAACUGAGUCAUGUGAAAGGGUGGAAGAGGUAGCCUGUGAAAUGGGGGUCAGGCUGCAAGCGGACAUACAGCAGCAAUCUGCUCAACUUGUCUACACUGGAAAUGGCAGCCGAGGCAAGGCAGCAGCAAUGUUACUGUGCUGGAAAUGACACAGAAAAACAAUCAUUUUACUAACUAGUUAUCACCCCCUCCACUGAAGGCGCUGGUGCAUGCUAGGGGACAGUUCAGCAGGUACUGGCCACCAUUCGAUACCUUGCUCAAGUUGCCACUCUUCACGUGAAGCUAGACAGUGGGUUUAGCAAGCUGUUUGACAGUAGGGGGCAUCACAGCUGAGCCUGAUUCUAUCCACGCACCCACUUUACAGCAGGGCAAAUAUUGAUCAGGAUCUGGAACCCUGGCUGAUUUUACCUGUCCUUAGCCUGUGGGUGCUAAGGGUCACUCUUGCUACACUGGCUAAGGUCAGCUAAGUCAGCACUUAUUGGGAAUGGAACCUGGGAUGUUCGGGUAGGUAUAGCUCAGUUAAACACUGCCUUAUUCAACUGAACUAUAAGAGAGAUGAACAAUGCAGUAUUUUGUCUCAUAAAAGUUGCUAUAGUUCAUUCCAUUAGUAAGAAUGUUACUGUAAAGAAAUACUUUGAAUAUGAAAUUCCCAAUCUCCUCUGCCUGCAUGCCCAAUUUUAUUUUUCCAUAAGCACCUGUAAUACAUCUGAAAAUGUUGGCCUGGUCAUUGCUGAUUUUACAUCUUUCAUUUGCCUUGCAAAAUGUGACCAAUAUAUGGAUUUACAAUGUUCUCUAUUAGUAGUUUACAGUUGUUGCUCCUGGAAUGUA